AUGCUUUUUACUGUAUCUAAGACAUCCGAGACAUUCAUAGACGAAAAUCAGAGAGAUGGGACAUCCUUUGGCCUCUGAAGAAGACAGUGCAUCUUUCUCCAUGCUUUCAGAAGCCAGCAGGGUCUCCUGAUGCAGCUGGGAAUGGAAGGAGAAGGCAGAAUUAAAAAUGAGAUUUGAUUUGAGGACAAGGAAUCUACUUCCAGGACUGAAGAGUGUACUGGUGGUGCAAGACACACGAUGUUCCCAUUGUGUGUUUCUCUCUUCAUUAUGCUUUAAAUUUUCCCAAGCUUCCCAUGGUUGUGACUUCACAGCCAUGGGAAUAAUGGCACAAUGUGAAGAGACAAAAAAUAGACAUUUCGCUGUUUUGUUACUGACUUUCACAUAGCGCAUGUUUGAAGGCUGUGAAUGAGAUAGUUUUCUGCUGUCUGGAAAGAACAGGGCAGGAAAAACAACUUUCAGAUUUUGCUAAAUUUAGUCACUAAAUUUUGAAAGGCUGAUUAGAAAAACGCCUGACUGAAAAGUUUAAUUUUGAAUCAAGCUGCAAGAAUAAGCUGUAGUUUAGAAAAGCGUCCCAACGUGAAUGACUUCCUCAAAGCUCUUUUUUUCUGGUCCACUCCAACUCUGUUCUAGCAUCUUCCAAGGGUCACAAUUCCAGAUCUUCCUCUUUGUUUUUAUAAUGCAUGCUUGCUUUUCUUAUUGUAAAAAAAAAAAAUAAAAAUUGCUCUUUAAAUG
ensembl:lncRNA